rnacentral:rRNA from 1 species
AGAAUCAACGCUGGCGGCGUGCCUAACACAUGCAAGUCGAACGAGAAAGUGGAGCAAUCCAUGAGUAAAGUGGCGCACGGGUGAGUAACACGUGACUAACCUACCCUUGAGUGGGGGAUAACCUAGAGAAAUCUGGGCUAAUACCGCAUAAUACCUUCGGGUCAAAGGAGCAAUUCGCUUAAGGAGGGGGUCGCGGCCGAUUAGUUAGUUGGCGGGGUAAUGGCCCACCAAGACUAUGAUCGGUAUCCGGCCUGAGAGGGCGCACGGACACACUGGAACUGAAACACGGUCCAGACUCCUACGGGAGGCAGCAGUGGGGAAUUUUGCGCAAUGGGGGAAACCCUGACGCAGCAACGCCGCGUGGAGGAUGAAGUCCCUUGGGACGUAAACUCCUUUCGAUCGGGACGAUAAUGACGGUACCGAGAGAAGAAGCCCCGGCUAACUUCGUGCCAGCAGCCGC